GAUCUUUCUCCAUCUCAAGAACAAUAGGAAUGUAGUUCUUGAUGUUUGAAAUAGAGAGAAUGGGUUGAAACUCCAUCUUUAUGACUACCUAUAAGGGAGAAGAGGGUGUCUCCUUGUCAGUAUCACGACUUACAAGAGAGGUAGUUCUAUUGUUAGUCUCGUUAUCAGUGUGAUCAGACUCAGACAUCACAUGUGGGAGAGAGAGACACAAACUGAGGAUAGAAGAUCGGUGGAAGGUUGUCACUGCGUGCAUGCACGAGAG
rnacentral:lncRNA from 1 species